UACGUAGGGUGCAAGCGUUAAUCGGAAUUACUGGGCGUAAAGCGUGCGCAGGCGGCUAUGCAAGACAGAUGUGAAAUCCCCGGGCUCAACCUGGGAACUGCAUUUGUGACUGCAUGGCUAGAGUACGGUAGAGGGGGAUGGAAUUCCGCGUGUAGCAGUGAAAUGCGUAGAUAUGCGGAGGAACACUGAUGGCGAAGGCAAUCCCCUGGACCUGUACUGACGCUCAUGCACGAAAGCGUGGGGAGCAAACAGG
rnacentral:rRNA from 1 species